rfam:Hordeum vulgare subsp. vulgare, WGS project CAJW01000000 data, contig: morex_contig_303715
UAUGUACUCCCUCCGUCCCAAAAUUAUUGUCUUAGAUUUGUCUAGUCAUCAAUGUAUCUAGUCAUGUUUUAGUAUUUAGAUACAUUCAUUUCUAAACAAACCAAAGACAAGAAUUUUGGAACGAAGGGAGUAUCAU